GCACAGAGUUUCAGGUUCACCUUGUCCACCCUCUAAUUGUCAUUAGUUAAGUCUGGUUGUGAGUGUGAAUAAGUGUUUGAAAGAUUUGUCCUAGGAAUGGGAAAUUACCAUUCAAGAAUAUGAAGUAGUUAACUUUUCUUGUUCAUAUGUAUUUUAUGCUUAAAUAAGGUUUAUAAUCAGUAGUGCUGACUGUAAGGAUAUGAAAUAGUUAAACUCUUUUUGCUUUAUAUGCUAGCCCUGGAAAUAUACUCACUGAGAAUCUUGUUAAAGCACAUUUGUAGUGUCCAUGUCUUUAUUGCAAACAAUGAUUCUCCAUCAAUUGGGUGAUUGUCUAUAUUGGGGACACACUUUGGUAAGUUAGUAGUGUGUCCACCCUGAGUCAGCAGUAUGGGAAAUGUGAGUUCAGGUCCUGAGUGACCAAUAUACAUACAUAAGAUACCAGUACUGUAUAUUAGAAAAGAACUGACUCGCAGGUUGUACCUGAUAGACCUACUUAAAUCUUUUGCUUUAUUCUUUCUGUUGCAUAUAAGUAUAAGUUUAUUACUCUGUUGUAUUGUAAGUUAUUUCACAUGGGAUCUGUGUGCCUGGUAUGAUUGUUGCUUUAAUACCAUAAGCCCACUACACUUUCUAUGAGAGUGGGAUAGUGUAAAUGUGUUGCAUUGUUUGCAUGAUGAGCUCAGUAUUUUUAUAACUGAGACAAAAAGUCACAUCAUUAGUAUUUGAAAGUUAAUUCCCCAUAUGGGAUUAAUUGUAUAGAAUACCAAUCAGCACAUCUUCCCUGCCCUGUGUGUUUGUUGCAAAGGAUCCAUACUGUAAAUAUGAUUUUUG
rnacentral:lncRNA from 1 species